ACUAAAUAGAUGAACUCCCAAAAAAAAAAGUGUCACUAGACUGCUGCAAUUCCUAAGAGAUCAUUUGCCCGCCGGCGAGUAUUUUCCCGGCGACAUUAUUCCCGGCGUCUUCGGGCAUCGUAAUGGCUUCCUCUAUUCCACCACCGAGAUCGGUCGCUUCCGGCGGUUUCCAGAACCCUAAUAAGUCAUUAAGCUUCUUUGCAAACGCAAUGAAGAGAAAAGACAGUUUCAUACAGUUUUUCGCCAUGACAGGAAUACUUCUAUUGAGUUUAAGAUCGCUUGGGCAAAAGUAUCGUAUUCAUAAUCUAAUGGAGGAUAAUGCUGCGCUUGAGGAAGAACAACAAGGACUUGUUCGGCGAAUGGAUCAUAUUAGGCAAAGCUUGCUUGCUGAAGCUGCUGCUGAGCCUACUGGUCUCUUUGCUUCCCGUCUUCGUCGCCUCUUCGGUGAAGACUGUUGAACAGCAUCAUGGAUUCAAACUGUCUGGAACAUACGCUCAAUCAUGUCAAACCGAAGCAGAAUUUACCUUCAAUUCCCUAAUCUCUAGAUCACGAUAUACAGUUCAAUUACUUGACAGUUGACAAUAAACCUGCCGCUUUGUUGCUUCAAAGGAUGGCGAUUUACUUGCCAGUUCGUUUAUGCCAGAUUUGUCUUUGGAGUUUGAAUCUGGUAAUUUUGUGAAUCACGUUGUGCUUCUUUCUUCGAGUGCUGUUAUAUAUAUACAGCCUGAGAGAGCAAUGUAACGAUUAAGUAGUAGUACUGGCUUAGUUUACACAACUUCUAGUUUUAUUUACACAUAACACUGAGUUGUCUUGAAUCAUAACAAAUAAAUGGUUGUUUUCUAUCUAUUUGUGGGAAAAAAACAGCUGAUGUUGCAACAAAA